GAAUCAACGCUGGCGGCGUGCCUAACACAUGCAAGUCGAACGAGAAAGCGGAGCAAUCCGCAAGUAAAGUGGCGCACGGGUGAGUAACACGUGACUAACCUACCCUGGAGUGGGGGAUAACUGAGGGAAACCUUAACUAAUACCGCAUAAUACCCACGGGUCAAAGGAGCAAUUCGCUUCAGGAGGGGGUCGCGGCCGAUUAGUUAGUUGGCGGGGUAAUGGCCCACCAAGACAGUGAUCGGUAUCCGGCCUGAGAGGGCGCACGGACACACUGGAACUGAAACACGGUCCAGACUCCUACGGGAGGCAGCAGUGGGGAAUUUUGCGCAAUGGGGGAAACCCUGACGCAGCAACGCCGCGUGGAGGAUGAAGUACUUCGGUACGUAAACUCCUUUCGAUCGGGACGAUUAUGACGGUACCGGAAGAAGAAGCCCCGGCUAACUUCGUACCAGCAGCCGCGGUAAUACGAGGGGGGCAAGCGUUGUUCGGAAUUAUUGGGCGUAAAGGGUGCGUAGGCGGUUUGGUAAGUCUGAUGUGAAAUCUAUGGGCUCAACUCAUAGACUGCAUCGGAAACUGCCGGGCUUGAGUAUGGGAGAGGUGAGUGGAAUUUCCGGUGUAGCGGUGAAAUGCGUAGAUAUCGGAAGGAACACCUGUGGCGAAAGCGGCUCACUGGACCAUAACUGACGCUGAUGCACGAAAGCUAGGGGAGCAAACAGGAUUAGAUACCCUGGUAGUCCUAGCCCUAAACGAUGACUGCUUGGUGUGACGGGUACCCAAUCCCGCCGUGCCGUAGCUAACGCGUUAAGCAGUCCGCCUGGGGAGUACGGUCGCAAGGCUGA
rnacentral:rRNA from 1 species